rnacentral:tRNA from 1 species
GUGGGUGUGGUGGAAUUGGUAGACACGAUGGUUUUAGGCACCAUUGGAGCAAUCUGUGCGGGUUCAAGUCCUGCCACCCAUA